UCGAGCGGCAGCGGAAGUAGCUUGCUACUUUGCCGGCGAGCGGCGGACGGGUGAGAAAUGUCUGGGAAACUGCCUGAUGGAGGGGGAUAACUACUGGAAACGGUAGCUAAUACCGCAUAACGUCGCAAGACCAAAGAGGGGGACCUUCGGGCCUCUUGCCAUCAGAUGUGCCCAGAUGGGAUUAGCUAGUAGGUGGGGUAACGGCUCACCUAGGCGACGAUCCCUAGCUGGUCUGAGAGGAUGACCAGCCACACUGGAACUGAGACACGGUCCAGACUCCUACGGGAGGCAGCAGUGGGGAAUAUUGCACAAUGGGCGCAAGCCUGAUGCAGCCAUGCCGCGUGUAUGAAGAAGGCCUUCGGGUUGUAAAGUACUUUCAGCGGGGAGGAAGGCGCUGAGGUUAAUAACCUCAGCGAUUGACGUUACCCGCAGAAGAAGCACCGGCUAACUCCGUGCCAGCAGCCGCGGUAAUACGGAGGGGUGCAAGCGUUUAAUCGGAAUUACUGGGCGUAAAGCGCACGCAGGCGGGUCUGUCAAGUCGGAUGUGAAAA
rnacentral:rRNA from 1 species